rnacentral:lncRNA from 1 species
ACUCUUGUAAUAUUAUUUAUCAUCUUUUGAAGAAACCAAAGGGAUUCAUUGAUUUUGAAGAAAUACAGGAAUAGGAAAAAAAGAAUCUAUAAUUAAGGAUGGGAAGAAAUUAUAAAAUGAUAGAGAAAACUAAGAAGGAAAAAAAACUUAGAAAGAAAAUCUAUACAAUACAUAAAAAGGUGAGUUCCGAACUCUCCCAUGACAACAUAUGU